CCCUUAGAUGUUCUGGGCUGCACGCGCGCUACACUGAUGCGCUCAACGAGUUUGCGUCCUUGCCUGGCAAGGUCGGGUAAUCUGUUCAAAACGCAUCGUGAUGGGGAUAGAUUAUUGCAAUUAUUAAUCUUCAACGAGGAAUUCCUAGUAAGCGCGAGUCAUCAGCUCGUGCUGAUUACGUCCCUGCCCUUUGUACACACCGCCCGUCGCACCUACCGAUUGAAUGGUCCGGUGAAAUCUCGGGACGGCGGCUUGGUCGCUUGCGUCCGACUGCUGAAACUUGAUUAAACCAUAUCAUUUAGAGGAAGGUGAAGUCGUAACA
rnacentral:rRNA from 1 species